rnacentral:rRNA from 1 species
GGUUCACUAAGUGGCAGCAGCCGGGGUAAUACGGGGGGUGCAAGCGUUAUUCGGAUUUAGUGGGGUUAAAGGGUCCGUAGGCGGACUUAUAAGUCAGUGGUGAAAGCCUGUCGCUUAACGAUAGAACUGCCAUUGAUACUGGAAGUCUUGAGUAUAAUUGUUGUAGCUGGAAUAAGUAGUGUAGCGGUGAAAUGCAUAGAUAUUACUUAGAACACCAAUUGCGAAGGCAGGUUACCAAGUUAUAACUGACGCUGAGGGACGAAAGCGUGGGGAGCGAACAGGAUUAGAUACCUGGUAGUC